rnacentral:rRNA from 1 species
AGUGAACGCUGGCGGUAGGCCUAACACAUGCAAGUCGAACGGCAGCACAGUAAGAGCUUGCUCUUACGGGUGGCGAGUGGCGGACGGGUGAGGAAUACAUCGGAAUCUACUUUUUCGUGGGGGAUAACGUAGGGAAACUUACGCUAAUACCGCAUACGACCUACGGGUGAAAGCAGGGGAUCUUCGGACCUUGCGCGAUUGAAUGAGCCGAUGUCGGAUUAGCUAGUUGGCGGGGUAAAGGCCCACCAAGGCGACGAUCCGUAGCUGGUCUGAGAGGAUGAUCAGCCACACUGGAACUGAGACACGGUCCAGACUCCUACGGGAGGCGGCAGUGGGGAAUAUUGGACAAUGGGCGCAAGCCUGAUCCAGCAAUACCGCGUGGGUGAAGAAGGCCUUCGGGUUGUAAAGCCCUUUUGUUGGGAAAGAAAGGCAGCAGGUUAAUACCCCGCUGUUCUGACGGUACCCAAAGAAUAAGCACCGGCUAACUUCGUG